UACGGAGGAUCCGAGCGUUAUCCGGAUUUAUUGGGUUUAAAGGGUGCGUAGGCGGUUUGAUAAGUUAGAGGUGAAAUGUCGGGGCUCAACCCCGAAACUGCCUCUAAUACUGUUGGACUAGAGAAUAGUUGCGGUAGGCGGAAUGUAUGGUGUAGCGGUGAAAUGCUUAGAGAUCAUACAGAACACCGAUUGCGAAGGCAGCUUACCAAACUGUAUCUGACGUUGAGGCACGAAAGCGUGGGUAGCAAACAGG
rnacentral:rRNA from 1 species